AUUGAACGCUGGCGGCAUGCCUUACACAUGCAAGUCGGACGGUAACGGGCCUUCGGGUGCCGACGAGUGGCGAACGGGUGAGUAAUACAUCGGAACGUGCCCGAUCGUGGGGGAUAACGAGGCGAAAGCUUUGCUAAUACCGCAUACGAUCUACGGAUGACAGCAGGGGACCGCAAGGCCUUGCGCGGACGGAGCGGCCGAUGGCAGAUUAGGUAGUUGGUGGGAUAAAAGCUUACCAAGCCGACGAUCUGUAGCUGGUCUGAGAGGAUGAUCAGCCACACUGGGACUGAGACACGGCCCAGACUCCUACGGGAGGCAGCAGUGGGGAAUUUUGGACAAUGGGCGCAAGCCUGAUCCAGCCAUGCCGCGUGCAGGAUGAAGGCCUUCGGGUUGUAAACUGCUUUUGUACGGAACGAAAAGCCUUCUUUUAAUACAGGAGGGUCAUGACGGUACCGUAAGAAUAAGCACCGGCUAACUACGUG
rnacentral:rRNA from 1 species